CGUGGGGGAGGAGGUUUGUGGAUUGUAAACCCCUUUUGAUUGGGAAGAAAUACUGACGGUACCAAUCGAAUAAGCAUCGGCUAACUCCGUGCCAGCAGCCGCGGUAAUACGGAGGAUGCAAGCGUUAUCCGGAAUUAUUGGGCGUAAAGCGUCCGUAGGUGGUUUAGUAAGUCUGCUGUUAAAGCGCGGGGCUUAACUCCGUAUCGGCAGUGGAAACUACUAGACUUGAGUGUGGUAGGGGUAGAGGGAAUUCCCAGUGUAGCGGUGAAAUGCGUAGAUAUUGGGAAGAACACCGGUGGCGAAAGCGCUCUACUGGGCCAUAACUGACACUGAUGGACGAAAGCUAGGGGAGCGAAAGGGAUUAGAUACCCACCGUAAAGGAUGGAAACUAGGUGUUGGCCGUAUCGCGCGGUCAGUGCCGUAGCUAACGCGUUAAGUUUCCCGCCUGGGGAGUACGCUCGCAAGAGUGAAACUCAAAGGAAUUGACGGGGCCCGCACAAGCGGUGGAGUAUGUGGUUUAA
rnacentral:rRNA from 1 species